rnacentral:ncRNA from 1 species
AUUUUGGCAGUGACGAAGAGUAGUAGCUAUUUUAUAUCACUUAAGAGAGCUGGUGGGUGGUGAAAACCAGUGUGUAAGAAUAGUGAAUGGGCUUCUGAGCCCCGGGCUUCUGAGCCCCAAACCGAACCCUAUAAGUGUGUGUUCAAAAAGGAGGAUAAAAAGGACCCGUCGGCUAAAAAGACGCUGACGUCCUGUCAGCAACGCCGACACUAGCACAUCCUGUGCGUCGAAAGUUCGAGGCGGCGCAGUUUCGAGCGGCGGAAUGUAUGCAGUAAGAUACAUGAGCAGCGCAGAGCGCAGAAACAAGCCAACGAAGAAAUUCGAAGUGUCAUUUUUACCGGACUUUUUAAACAUCCCCUUCAAUAGGUUGUAGGCUUUGGCGUAAAGGUCUUGACGUUACGAAGACUAGGCAUAAGCAGAGUGUGUAAGCUUGUUGCUGUCAAAGUGAGCUGUUUUCAGCUAAUAAAGGUGGUACCACGGGUUCCUCGUCCUUUGG